UAACUAUUGGCUUGGGAAGUUCUUGAAUGUUCCGGCUGUGAGUAUUAGACCACAAGGAAAUGAGAGGUUGAGUUGUGUUUGGUUCACCCCCCACAGCACAAACUACAGAGAAGGGGCCUGGGACAGAGAGAGGACCACAGGGAAAACACUCCAAGCAUGGAGCUCUGGAGGCCCAAGUGGAGCUGCUUUCCACUUUGUGUAUACUAGAUACACUAUAGCAACAAGAAUGAUUCCUCGAAUGCUGAGAGAAUGGACUCUGGCCUUGGGGACCGUGAUCCCACCUUGGACCCCUGCAGCUCCGAGAACCCCCAGCUCCACCCUUGCCUCACACACAUACGCUCUUUGUGAAUGAGGAGAAUAAGACCCAGAAAACAGAAGCCCAAGAGCAAAACAUUUUUUGAAUUCUUAUUUUUUAAAUUUUAUUAAUUGAUAAGUAAUAGUUGUAUACAUUUAUGGGGUAUGGUGGGAUGUUUUGAUAUAUGUAUACAUUGUGGAAUGAUUAAAUUAAGAUAAUUAACAUAUUCAUCACCUCACAUGCUUAUCAUUUUUUUUAACUUAAAAAAAAAAUCUUAUGUAGAUGGCUAUGGCCUGUAGGGGAAUGGGUGAAAAUGGGAAAACAGAAAGGGUAUUCGACACACAAACCCACAAAGGACCUCACAUUUAGACUUCAACUUUAUCUUUGAAGGAGGUUAUUCACAAGAUUGCUGAGAUGCUUUACAGACCUAGGGGAAAGUUAAAGUUAAUCACACAGCCCGAAAAUUCUACUACGUGUUUCACUAUGGAAAAAUACUGUCCACAACCCCUAUUUUAGCAAUUCUGUGAUUAUCUUAUGCAUAGCACAUUGAUA
rnacentral:lncRNA from 1 species